rnacentral:rRNA from 1 species
CGGACGGGUGAGUAAUGUCUGGGAAACUGCCUGAUGGAGGGGGGUAACUACUGGAAACGGUAGCUAAUACCGCAUAACGUCGCAAGACCAAAGAGGGGGGACCUUAGGGCCUCUUGCCAUCGGAUGUGCCCAGAUGGGAUUAGCUAGUAGGUGGGGUAACGGCUCACCUAGGCGACGAUCCCUAGCUGGUCUGAGAGGAUGACCAGCCACACUGGAACUGAGACACGGUCCAG